GGGUUGUGAGGUUAAGCGACUAAGCGUACACGGUGGAUGCCCUGGCAGUCAGAGGCGAUGAAGGACGUGCUAAUCUGCGAAAAGCGUCGGUAAGGUGAUAUGAACCGUUAUAGCCGGCGAUGUCCGAAUGGGGAAACCCAGUGCAAUUCGUUGCACUAUCGUUUGAUGAAUACAUAGUCAAACGAGGCGAACCGGGGGAACUGAAACAUCUAAGUACCCCGAGGAAAAGAAAUCAACCGAGAUUCCCCCAGUAGCGGCGAGCGAACGGGGAGCAGCCCGGAGUCUGAAUCAGCUUGUGUGUUAGUGGAAGCGUCUGGAAAGUCGCAGGGUACAGGGUGAUACUCCCGUACACUAAAACACACAGGUUGUGAACUCGAAGAGUAGGGCGGGACACGUGGUAUCCUGUCUGAAUAUGGGGGGACCAUCCUCCAAGGCUAAAUACUCCUGACUGACCGAUAGUGAACCAGUACCGUGAGGGAAAGGCGAAAAGAACCCCGGCGAGGGGAGUGAAAAAGAACCUGAAACCGUGUACGUACAAGCAGUAGGAGCCUCUUUAUGGGGUGACUGCGUACCUUUUGUAUAAUGGGUCAGCGACUUAUAUUCUGUAGCAAGGUUAACCGUAUAGGGGAGCCGCAGGGAAACCGAGUCUUAACUGGGCGUUAAGUUGCAGGGUAUAGACCCGAAACCCGGUGAUCUAGCCAUGGGCAGGUUGAAGGUUGGGUAACACUAACUGGAGGACCGAACCGACUAAUGUUGAAAAAUUAGCGGAUGACUUGUGGCUGGGGGUGAAAGGCCAAUCAAACCGGGAGAUAGCUGGUUCUCCCCGAAAGCUAUUUAGGUAGCGCCUCGUGAACUCAUCUUCGGGGGUAGAGCACUGUUUCGGCUAGGGGGUCAUCCCGACUUACCAACCCGAUGCAAACUACGAAUACCGAAGAAUGUUAUCACGGGAGACACACGGCGGGUGCUAACGUCCGUCGUGAAGAGGGAAACAACCCAGACCGCCAGCUAAGGUCCCAAAGUCAUGGUUAAGUGGGAAACGAUGUGGGAAGGCCCAGACAGCCAGGAUGUUGGCUUAGAAGCAGCCAUCAUUUAAAGAAAGCGUAAUAGCUCACUGGUCGAGUCGGCCUGCGCGGAAGAUGUAACGGGGCUAAACCAUGCACCGAAGCUGCGGCAGCGACACUAUGUGUUGUUGGGUAGGGGAGCGUUCUGUAAGCCGUUGAAGGUGGCCUGUGAGGGUUGCUGGAGGUAUCAGAAGUGCGAAUGCUGACAUAAGUAACGAUAAUGCGGGUGAAAAACCCGCACGCCGGAAGACCAAGGGUUCCUGUCCAACGUUAAUCGGGGCAGGGUGAGUCGACCCCUAAGGCGAGGCCGAAAGGCGUAGUCGAUGGGAAACAGGUUAAUAUUCCUGUACUCGGUGUUACUGCGAAGGGGGGACGGAGAAGGCUAUGUUGGCCGGGCGACGGUUGUCCCGGUUUAAGCAUGUAGGCGGAUGUUCCAGGUAAAUCCGGAACGUUACUAACGCUGAGGUGUGAUGACGAGGCACUACGGUGCUGAAGUGACAAAUGCCCUGCUUCCAGGAAAAGCCUCUAAGCAUCAGGUAACAUCAAAUCGUACCCCAAACCGACACAGGUGGUCAGGUAGAGAAUACCAAGGCGCUUGAGAGAACUCGGGUGAAGGAACUAGGCAAAAUGGUGCCGUAACUUCGGGAGAAGGCACGCUGAUAUGUAGGUGAAGUGGUUUACCCAUGGAGCUGAAAUCAGUCGAAGAUACCAGCUGGCUGCAACUGUUUAUUAAAAACACAGCACUGUGCAAACACGAAAGUGGACGUAUACGGUGUGACGCCUGCCCGGUGCCGGAAGGUUAAUUGAUGGGGUUAUCCGUAAGGAGAAGCUCUUGAUCGAAGCCCCGGUAAACGGCGGCCGUAACUAUAACGGUCCUAAGGUAGCGAAAUUCCUUGUCGGGUAAGUUCCGACCUGCACGAAUGGCGUAAUGAUGGCCAGGCUGUCUCCACCCGAGACUCAGUGAAAUUGAACUCGCUGUGAAGAUGCAGUGUACCCGCGGCAAGACGGAAAGACCCCGUGAACCUUUACUAUAGCUUGACACUGAACACUGGUCCUUGAUGUGUAGGAUAGGUGGGAGGCUUUGAAGUGUGGACGCCAGUCUGCAUGGAGCCAUCCUUGAAAUACCACCCUUUAAUGGCUGGUGUUCUAACGUGGGCCCCUAAUCGGGGUUGCGGACAGUGUCUGGUGGGUAGUUUGACUGGGGCGGUCUCCUCCUAAAGAGUAACGGAGGAGCACGAAGGUCAGCUAAUCCUGGUCGGACAUCAGGAGGUUAGUGCAAUGGCAUAAGCUGGCUUGACUGCGAGCGUGACGGCGCGAGCAGGUGCGAAAGCAGGUCAUAGUGAUCCGGUGGUUCUGAAUGGAAGGGCCAUCGCUCAACGGAUAAAAGGUACUCCGGGGAUAACAGGCUGAUACCGCCCAAGAGUUCAUAUCGACGGCGGUGUUUGGCACCUCGAUGUCGGCUCAUCACAUCCUGGGGCUGAAGUAGGUCCCAAGGGUAUGGCUGUUCGCCAUUUAAAGUGGUACGCGAGCUGGGUUUAGAACGUCGUGAGACAGUUCGGUCCCUAUCUGCCGUGGGCGCUGGAGAAUUGAGGGGGGCUGCUCCUAGUACGAGAGGACCGGAGUGGACGCAUCACUGGUGUUCGGGUUGUCAUGCCAAUGGCAUUGCCCGGUAGCUAAAUGCGGAAGAGAUAAGUGCUGAAAGCAUCUAAGCACGAAACUUGCCCCGAGAUGAGUUCUCCCUGACUCCUUGAGAGUCCUGAAGGAACGUUGAAGACGACGACGUUGAUAGGCCGGGUGUGUAAGCGCAGCGAUGCGUUGAGCUAACCGGUACUAAUGAACCGUGAGGCUUAACCUUACAACGCCGAAG
rnacentral:rRNA from 2 species